AUAUAGGCUGAGUGCAGUGGUGUUUACAACUAAUUGAUCACAGCCAGUUACAGAUUCCUUUGUUCCUUCUCUACUCCCACUGUUUCAUUCGUCUCAU
ensembl:misc_RNA Y_RNA Y RNA